UGUCACUUGUUUUUUUAAUUGAAGUACCAGUAGAAUGGAAAAACAAAUUGCCUCUAUAUUUAAGCUAUUAUGAUGCAUAUGUGAUUUAUGACACCAAAAGACUUCCGUUUGCGAGUAAAUAGAUAUGAUCAAAAUAGUAUCAAUCUCAUGGAUAUUCCCGAGCUGUUUUGAGAGAUAAUCAGUGAUCCAGUCACUUGAUCACUUUAUUCAGAUUAAUCACAUUUGGAAUUUAAAUUAAUCACUUGCUUGCAUGAUUAAAAAUUAAUUAAGAAAAAAAUUCCUAUAUUUCUACACAAAUUGAAUUUCAAAGUCAGAAUGUCAUCCAGGAACAUUUUUGAACGUUCUACUUGGAUGCUGGUCAUUUAUUCGCACAACAUUUGGCAACCGUUUUAUUGAAGGAUGAUUUGGAGUUAAAUUUUUCAGGAAACACACCAGCCUGAUUCUCCUCACUCAUUUUUGUACUGACGUAUGCAUGGAUCUGAUCACUGACUGUAGGGACCCCACUUGGAGACCCCUUUGAAAAUGAGACGCUGCAUCUCAGGGGGCUAUCCCAAAUCAAUUUAAUUGUAUAGCGGUCAAGGUAAAAGAGCUUGUACGGUCAAAAUAAAUAGCAAGAAUAAUCUAAGCAUGUGUGAUAAUUCUUUGUGAUUAAUCACAUUAGUUAACUCGAUAAUUUUGAAGUCCCUAAUUUUAAUUAAUUGUAUACUAAUACAUUGCAUAUACAGUAAUUUUAGUUAUGAAAUUAUAUUCACAUAAAUACAUGUUUUAUUACUUUUGUCUUCAUCAUAAUCAACUAACGACAGGCAAAUUCACAUAAGGAUUCAAUGAUUAGAAUAUUUCAAGUUAAAUUAUCAUGCAUUGGCAUAAUUUUCUCUGUAUUUGCUUGUAUUUGAAUCGAUGCCAAAAUUCCCAGUAUCACAACCACCAACGUUCCCACUAAGGUACGUGCCUGUGCAAUUGCACACUGCUCACGCGUCCUCUGCGCACGGCAAAUCUUGGCCGCGCACAAAAUCCAAUAAAAAGACAUAACUGCCGUUGCUCGCAUGUGCACCACUGAAUGCUGAAGGAGUUUGGCGUUUGCUCACACAUGAAAGAUUGGAGGGAAAAUUGACCACCAACCUACCGUCUGGUCUUCAUUAGAUGUUCAAAUAUGUGACAAUAAACCAGUUCUCUCAAUGGGUGUACAACCUGUGAGAGAGCGAUGAAUAGUGGAAAACACAGCAAUGUGAGUGAAACACCACCAGUAACAGUGUUGACCACAAAGCAUUGUUUCAAACGUAAAGCAGUGUAUACAAAUAGUAUGUGAUUAGAAGGGGCAUUAACAGUGUAAAAACACAGAUUAAUCACAUAGUUAGUUUUGACCCAACAUGCUCCUUUACCUUAACAGCGGAUGGUUACCGGAAAGGCUGCGUGGGUAAUAAGGUCAGUGAUCAGGUUAUUCUGUACGUAAGUGCAAAGAUGAGUGAGAGAACUCCUCUUAUGGUGGUAAGUUUUGUUUCAAAAUACAGACCGACAGGACAUUAAAUUACAACAGGCUAAUUUCAAAAUUUUCUUAUCGAAGCAUAAGAAGUUUAAAAAACCUUUAAAGGUCUACUGAAACCCACUACUACUGACCACGCAGUCAGAUAGUUUAUACAUCAAUAAUGAAAUAUUAACAUUGCAACACAUGCCAAUACGGCGGGUUUAGUUUACUAAAUUGCAAUUUUAAAUUUCCCGCGAAGUAUCCUGUUGAAACAUCACGGAAUGAUGACGCGUAUGAUUACGCGUGCGCGUGAUGUCACGAAUUGUUGGGGACAUCUUAGCUCAGGUCCACACACGGCUAACAGUCGUCUCUGUUCAUCACAUAAUUACACAGUAAUUUGGACAUCUUUGUUGCUGAAUCUUUUGCAAUUUGUUCAAUUAAUAAUGGAGACUACGAAGAAGAAAGUUGUUGGAAAGCGGUGUAUUGCAGCGGGCUGUAGCAACACAAACACUGCCGGUGUUUCUUUGUUUACAUUCCCCAAAGAUGGCGGUAAAGCUGUCAUUUGAUACCGAGCGGUCAAGCGAACACGGUUGGAUUGGACCACACACACAAAGUACAAUGUUUUAUGCAGCGAUCAUUUCGAAACAUCGAGGGUCCCUUGCGAAAGGCAGAGAUGGGCAUCGCCACAACCCGUCAACUGGUGCUAAAGAAAGGUGCGGCGCCUACUAUUUUCAAGAGACCACAAUCAGCCAUCAUUGGCAGUGCUUCGACAACUUCAGAUCAUACCACGCCGUCCACAAGUGGACAGACCAUGCACAUAAGGUCUGCAUUUGCCAAAAGGGAAAGGUAGAGGACAAUAGAUCAGAUCAUGGCCAGUACGACUACGGCAUCAGUGGUGGAUGCGGUGGAUGAACCAAUGGCAAUGGCACUAAAUUUGCCUGAUGAGGAGGGCGAUCAAGAUCAGGGAAAUACAAGAAAACAAGGAUGCCAAACGGACUGGGUACCGAUUGGAACAGCACCAACGGCAAUGACUAGUGGCAAGAGGACUCAAACAGGGAAAAUACAUCAUAGAUCAAAGGGACACCAGGUGACCACAGAGAUCCUCAAGAGGGUUAGAGCUUGGCCAGCCAGGGUUAGUGAAGUCCCAUCGUCAAGUGCAGCAGCUCCAUCUGACAGCCCCGAGAUGCAGCCCAAUAUAGCAUCUCCAGGUGUGUCUGGAAUGCAAGCCAAGCUACGACCACCAUUGUUUGAGGAAGGACCAGCAUCAAGUCCCGCUGCGCCUUCUGAUAGUGGUUCUUCCGAUGUCAGCUAUGUGCCGAGUGGGUCAUCGACAUUGGAUCCGUGUCAGUCUGAAGGGCCGCCAGAUCCCACACGUACUCCCAAGAUGCGGGAAGAGGGCUGCCACAAGGAACCGAAGUACAUCAUCUUUGAGUCGUGCCUCCAGAGUCUCGUCAAGUGGUGUCACUGCCCAGCCUGUGGCAGCCAGGACAUAAGCCCUUCUUGGGAUUCAAACGGUACACAGCUGAUCAUGACCAUACAAUGUGCAUUAUGUAACCGGAGGAGUAAGGUGGAGCAGCCAGCCAAACAUUGGCCCUUAUGCUGCGGGCAACAUCCUGCUAUCUGCUGGCAUUCUCUUCGCUGGCGCAUCUUCUGGCACGGUGUUACAAGUGCUGAACAGCAUCGGAGUAGUCACGUAUGUGAAGAGAACAUUUUUCAACCACCAAGAGCUCAUCCUGCAGCCAGCCAUCAAAAAGGUGUGGGAGGAACAGCAACGGACCAGCUCACCAUGCCGCAGGAGGAAGGCCGACCCCUCGUCCUUGGUGGUGAUGGGCGAGCAGACAGUCCAGGACACAGCGCCAAGUUCGGUACCUACACCAGAAUGGAGCUAGCGGCCAAUGAGGUUCUCGACCUUCAGGUUGUACAGAGCAAAGAAUGUCAUGGCAGCUACCAUAUGGAGAUGGAAGGACUGAAGAGUAUGGUGGAGCUUCUGAUCAGCUGGGACCUGGGUGUCGGGGUGCUGUUAACAGACAGACACAGACAGAUCGCUAAAUGGAUUCGCGCAAACAUGCCCAAUACACGGCACUGCUAUGAUAUCUGGCAUGUUGGAAAAUCCAUCAGGAAGAAACUGAAGGCCGUCGUCAAGCUGAAGGACUGUGAAGACCUGAAGCCCUGGGUUGUAAGUAUAAUUAACCACCUCUACUGGGCAGCCUGGAGAGGGGGAACUUCUGGAAGUCUGUGGAGCGACACAAUCAGAACAUCCACAAGGACCAUGGCAACCUCUUCCCAAUUUGUGCUCAUGGACAACUGCACGGUAGAAGUAUGCAAAAGAAAGGUCUCAAACCAAGUAAGUAGGCUAAUAAGUUGCCCGAAAGCAGUGAGGGAAUAGCAGUAUUUUCCUGCACAUCUUUUGAAAGUUCCCUGCGAUGAGGGGGCGACUUGUCCAGGGUGUACGCCGCAUACCGCCCGAUUGUAGCUGAGGUAGGCACCAGCGCCCCCCCGUGACCCCAAAGGGAAUAAGCGGUAGAAAAUGGAUGAAUGGAUCUUUUGAAAGUCCAAAAAUUCAGAUAAACUCGUAAAUAUAUAACCAGUUUUCAAGUUGACUGGAAAAUGUUUGUAUAAACAUUGUUCUAUUUUAAAUUUAUGUUUAGGUUCACCUUCAGCAGUGAAACUGGAGUAGGUUGUCAACAACAAGUCCCUGCUGAAAGAUAUCGCCAUGCUGUCGGGUGAACACCAGACUUCCAAGGUGGAGGCGUUCCGUAGCCUUAUCAUACAGGAACCUGCAUGGUGGGCUGCACUGGAAUGAAAACUCGAGCCGCCCUACAGCCACUACAAAAGCGGGUGCUGAGCGCUAUGCAGUACGCUACCCGAAGUAUAAAGCAGGGGGCCAUGUGGUCAAGAAAAUCAUGACAGAGCCAAUUACCACAGACCCCUGACGAGAGAACACCAGUCAGCGUCACCGUGGAUGUGCCUCCCUUCCUCUGCGAUGAAUUGGAGAAGCCAGACAAGGAGGAAGCCAUCGCCAAGCACAGGAGUCGCUUCGCUAAGCGUUAACUACAGUGGCCGUGUGGAUUCUGUUGCAGUCACUGCACGUCUUGGAACCCCGUGUAGUCCAUCGAUGGAAAUGUUGUUCUAAUCUUGUGUACUACACAAGAUGGUAGUGCCACCCUUAUCUCCUUUCCCAGAUAUCCCCAGCAGAAGCGGACAAACUGUCGAUAUGCUGGAAGUACAAAAUAGUUAAUAGCAAAUUAUGGCACCUGUUAUUAUCCAGACAUGGAUACACAGUGACUCACUAUUCUCUGAGAUGCAAAAGACAUUGACAUGCAUUCUAUUCAUUUGUCAUUUACUGUUGCAGUACAUUGUAAAUAUUGUUGACAUCUACAGUCCAUGUAUGUAAUACUUCUAUGAUAUUUAAUGUAAUUUACUAUGUAGAAUAGUACAUUUUACAGAAUAAGAAUAAGAUAAGAAAGUGCUCAUUCUGACUUAUCUUCCAAAGGUUGAUAAAAUAAAGGAUUAUUUAAAUUUA